UUUUUUUUUUUUUUUUUUUUUUUUUUUUUUA
rnacentral:ribozyme from 1 species